rnacentral:rRNA from 1 species
UACAGAGGGGGCAAGCGUUGUUCGGAAUUACUGGGCGUAAAGCGCGCGUAGGCGGACCUGCAAGUCGGGGGUGAAAGCCCGAGGCUCAACCUCGGAACUGCCUUCGAUACUGCGGGUCUCGAGUCCGGGAGAGGUGAGUGGAAUUCCUAGUGUAGAGGUGAAAUUCGUAGAUAUUAGGAAGAACACCAGUGGCGAAGGCGGCUCACUGGCCCGGUACUGACGCUGAGGCGCGAAAGCGUGGGGAGCAAACAGGG